GCCAAAUGCAAUUCGCGCAUAAGGUCGCGUGUGAUCGACGCGCCGGCUUUGCGCACCUCUUGUUUUCUUAUCAUAAACUGCCUCGUCGUUGCUUAUGCAGCUUGCGGCCAGUUUUGUGCCGGUCGCUGGUUGAUCCAGACGUAUUUUGCGCGACUCGUAUUGUUUAUCCGGACUUCUACUUUCCAAUUCGAAUUAUAUUCAAUCAUCAAUUGACUAUUUAAUUUUAACUUGACUUUAGUACAACUUUAGUAUUGUUAUUUAUUAUUUGCGCGUAAGUGUAUCGCGGCUAUGUUGUUUACCUGUUGUGAAGUGCCGUCGGCCAUCUUCCAAUUGUAAUUGAAGAAAUACCAGUGAGGGCCAGUGACGUUCCAUGAGUUACAAUACACAGGGUGAGAGUUCAUGGUAUUCGCCGUAGUCCGAUGUAGUCCGAUGAGUUCUUCAUUGACGUAAACGUUAACGCUACCCUUUUACGGUGCCCUAAGUUACACCUUCUACCGCUACCUUCGUACGGUGCCUUGAAUGGGAACUGGGAACUUGGACUGGAGAGGUUUCGCAGUACUGGUGGAGUGCGUAUUGAGGAUGAUGUUUUGUUUACUGAAGGUGGAUGUGUCAACUGGACUAAAAUACCCAGAACAGUCCAAGAAAUUGAAGAUUGGAUUGCCGGUGUUAAUAAUGAUUCCAAAAACGAUUUAAUGAAUUUACAACAUUUUUAAGCUGUUAUUGAUAUCAUUUUUGUUUAUUAUGUUAAAAAUUGUAAAAAGAGCAUUGUAUAAUUACAUGUAUAUAUUGAGAAAUUGAGUUACUGAUGGGUGUAUAUUCUACAUGUUUGAAUAAAAUUGUUGUUUUAUACUUUUAACUAUAAA